CAUACAUUUCAAAAAAAAAAAAUCUUUUAAGCCUUCUUAAGUUUUUUGAGAGUGUCAUUUAAAAGGGUGAAGAAAAUGGCAAUUAUAGUGGAGCUUCUACCUUUUAACUCAUGUGUUGUCUGCAUUGUAUAUGGAAGCCGGUUGAAAAGUAUGUCAUUGGUUUCGGUUAUCCAACUAAUUUUGAGGUUGAUAUGUUGAUGGGAUAUUGGAGUAAGCCAAAAUGGAGAAGAGUUUUUGAGUACAAAAAACAACCAAUACUUACGCAAUAAUUUAUAGACAAGAUUAAGAUUAUAUCCUCUCAACCAAAGACAUGAUUUUUAACAUCAAAUCCAUUAUAAUUUGUGUUUGGUAAUGAAGGUUUAACUAACACUUAAUUUACAUUUUUCAAAUGUUUAUUUCUUUGGUCGUUGUUAGUCUCUAUAUUUACAUCAAAUCCUUAUGCUUUUCGAA